GGGCGCUUAGCUCAGUUGGUUAGAGUACUUGCUUGACAUGCAAGGGGUCAGUGGUUCAAGUCCACUAGCGCCCACCA
rnacentral:tRNA from 1 species